rnacentral:lncRNA from 1 species
GCGUGACGGUCCCCUGCCACAAACCGCUGCUGCCCCUGUCUCGGGACACUGGUGGGACAGAGCUCACAGCCCUGGGCCCCGGUGCCGCACAGCCAUGCGGGGCGGGCCCUUCGCCUUCACGCUGCUCGGCUCUCCCACAGGUGGGAGCCUCCUUGUGGCUUCUGGAAGCACUGAGAGUUGCAGAGGCUGCAAUCUCCCCGGCACCCAUUCACUCAUUCAUCCAUUCACUCAAUGAAUAUUUAUACUGAGCACUUGUUACAUGUCCAUGUAGGCACCAUGCUAGGAGCUGGGGAUACAGCGGUGACCAUGGGCCCACAGGGCCUGGCACCUAAUGGGCACUCCGUUCCCAAGGCAACAGCUGAGUGAGCGGGCCAUGCAGGGCUCACACAGGCUGUUGUCUUCCACACCAUCACGGCAUCGUCUCAGUUGAUUUUCACAACCACCCUGCAAUGAGAAGGCACCUCCGUCCUCGCUUUCACAGAAGGAGAGUCAAAGCCCAGAGGAAGUGGCAGAGGAGGAACUGAAACAAGGUAUGUUCUGAGCACCUGCUCUGCAUCCUGCAUGCUCCUCUCUGGGCCCGGCGACCCAGCACACCAGAAGAGACCAUAUACAUGUCAGGUGUGAUAGGUGAAAAGAAAAAUCAAGAGGGAGUGCAGGGAGAUCUCCUUCAGAGUCUCUUUCACACGUGGAAUCUGUCAGUCACAUGGUAAUGGAAGAAGCUCGAAGUCCUCAGGGAGGCACCCCGUGAGAAAGGGCUUGGGUCCCGGUCCUCCCCGCAUCAGAGCAGAGGGAGGGAGAACAAAGCCCUGCACAGGAAACCGCAUUGUGUCCCUGUCCUCCCCACCCCCCAGUCCCAGGGCUCUUCUUCCUGGGGUGAAGGUCAGGAGUUCUCUGCCCAGGGGAGGGCACUGCAGAGGAGGGGCAGGCAUCCAGGUCCACAUCCUGCUUGUGUGUGACCAGCCCCAAGGGCCAGCAGGGCCCUAAGGGACUGAGGCCCUGGAUCUUUAGGGCUGGCCCUCGUUCCAGAGCAAGGAAAGAGGUCACCCUGGUCCUGUAGGCUCAGCAGCCCCAGGAGGGGUGACCUGCCUUGCGGAGUUUCCCAGACAAAGGCCCAGCCUGACCGAGAUGACUGGGGUGGGGCGGGGGUCCUCUGCGUGAUGUGAUCCUCCGAGCUUCUCUUUGUUCUCACUUCCUGAUUGUGAAAAAUGUGUUGCAGAAUGAACAGAACUGUUUAUGUUUCCCAAAUUAUGAAGGUGACUUCAUGUUCUUUGAUGGGUUUUUUAGUGUUUCUGAGAUAGAGUUCAUUUUUCUUCUGGGACAUUUUGUGGCUCAUGGG